GACGAACGCUGGCGGCGUGCUUAACACAUGCAAGUCGAACGGAAAGGCCCUGCUUUUGUGGGGUGCUCGAGUGGCGAACGGGUGAGUAACACGUGAGUAACCUGCCCUUGACUUUGGGAUAACUUCAGGAAACUGGGGCUAAUACCGGAUAGGAGCUCCUGCUGCAUGGUGGGGGUUGGAAAGUUUCGGCGGUUGGGGUUGGACUCGCGGCUUAUCAGCUUGUUGGGGGGGUAGUGGCUUACCAAGGCUUUGAAGGGUAGCCGGCCUGGGAGGGGGACCGGCCAAAUUGGGACUGGGAUGCGGCCCAGCCUCCUACGGGAGGCGGCGGUGGGGAAGAGUGCACAAUGGGCGGAAGCCUGAUGCAGCAACGCCGCGUGCGGGAUGACGGCCUGCGGGUUGUAAUCCGCUUUCGCCUGUGACGAAGCGUGAGUGACGGUAAUGGGUAAAGAAGCACCGGCUAACUACGUG
rnacentral:rRNA from 1 species